AAUGUCUUUAAUACUAUUUAUGUCGGACCUUUAUUAUUUUGUUGAUAUUAUUCCCAAUUAAUAUUCAGCCGUUGAUUUUUCCGAACGACACGCUCAGGUUACAUUAUAAGAAAUAGUUUGAUGGAUUGAUAAGAAAACAUUGCUUUUCGUCGACUUCCGAUAUACUACCCUCAGGAAUAUUUUUCUUUCGCUUUGUGUAGGAAGUUGUGACGUCUAGUUCCACAAAUUAAUUAGGUUUUUUUUAUUCUCUUUUGCUUAUUUCAGUGUGUUUAUUUUACUAUUACAAGGUCUUAAAUCACUUUUGUAAGGACAAACAGAACAAAAUUACUUCUGGUGUUUGUUCUAUUAUUCUAUUUUGUCAUAAAAUCACAAAUAAAUAUCACAAAUUUAUAAAUAUAGUUUACCUUAUUAGUUUCAUUGUCAAGUUAUUUUAUAUUGCCAAUUUCGAUGAUAAUUUAAUAUAAAACAAAGUAAACAAUUUGCUUAUAUCAAUAUUGAUUUUACAUAACAAAAAUAUUUAUAUUUUUACAGCUAAUAAGAGUCGCCUCAUUUGAUUGUCCAAUAAUAUCGUAUGACACUAAAAAAUAAAUUAAACAAGCCAUUUCGCUCUGUUUUGUUGUUGAAGAUCACAAAGAAAUUAGAAAAUUUGCAAACAAAAAUAAGGUUCUUUAAAUAUAUUUUUUAUUAUUUUUUAAUUACCGGCACUAUGACCAAUAAUUGCUAUUGUCAAUCAGAACAAGCAACAAAAAAGUGCAAAAUAUAUGUUUAUUCUAAUUUAAUUAUUUAAUAAUGAUUUUAAUAUUUGAUAUGAAUUAAACCACGGUCAAUAAUUGUCAGUGUCAAAGAGAAUUUCGAACGAGCGACAACAAAACAGUAUAAAGUUAAAAUCCGAACGAUUACAUGAGCUGUUCAGUUUCCACGAUCAUACGGUAUUAUAAUGUGCUCCCAAAAUAUAUAAGUAACUAUAACAUAACGGUGAUAGGUAUUUUUCCAUCGAUAUAUUAUGGCAAAUAUUGACAAAAUACUGAUAAACGCCAAACUUAUCAAACGUGUUUAUAAAGUGCUAGAAAAGAAAAUUUUUUCUAUGGACAUUUUUCCUAUUCAAUUCCUAGUUGCUUGAAAUAUGCCUAAGCUUUACGUAUUUCAUUAGAAAUAAAUAUUAAAAAAAUUGACUACCUACAAUGUACCACCGUCUACCAGAAAGGUAGAAAAUAAAACAAAAACGUAGUCGAAGUAGCCAAACACAUUAACUGCAUGAAAAUUGUGCCAGGUAUCUGCUCAAAUGUUGGGUCAAAAUUGAAUUAUCCCUUCAACAAAGAAAAUGAGAAGACAACUUCUUAUGCAGGGAUACGAUCAUGUUAUGACUUACGCCCAAUUUAAACACAGUGGACUAAUUGGCAGGUGUGUUAUUAGGGACGGAAAUAAUUAUAGCAGUUUCAUUACAAAUUUAUUGUAUUAAGUCAGACAAUUAGUGAUGGGCAUGUUUUCAAUUAAUGAUACUUAUAUAUGUCAGUGUACCAAGAUUAAAUAUAGCAAUAUUCACUUACACAUUUAAAUCUAUAUAACUUGUA